rnacentral:rRNA from 1 species
GAACUAGAGUCCUCUGAACUCACUCUACUGGUGUGAAGGCCAGUGAUUUCCGUUGGGAAGCGAAGACCCCGUAGAACUUUACUGCAUCUUGUUGUUGAAAUGUAAGGUUUGCUUUACAGUGUAGGUAGUAGCCGUUAAAGUCUGUUCGUCAGGAUGGAUGGAGGCGUCAAUGGAACACUACCAUGCGAAGUUUACGUUUCUAACCCUUCUUUGAAGGGGACAGCAGCUGGUGGGCAGUUUGGCUGGGGCGGCACCCUGCUGAAAUGGUAUCAGUAGGGCCCAAAGGUUGACUCAUCCGGUUUAGAAAUCCGGAGUUGAGCGCAAGAGCAAAAGUCAGCCUGACUGGAUCGAGAACAUUAAUCAAUCCAGAGACGAAAGUCAGGUCUAGCGAACCUCUAUGUCCUCCUUAGUGGGGGCUAGGUACAACAGAAAAGCUAUCUCGGGGAUAACUGAGUCGUAGCGCCUAAGAGUUCACAUCGACGGCGCUGUUUGCCACUUCGUUGUCGGCUCAUCGCAUCCUGGCCGUGCACAAGCGGCCAAGGGUACGGGUGUUCACCGGUUAAAGCGGUUCGUGAGCUGGGUUCAAAACGUCGUGAGACAGUUUGUAUGAUAUCUAGCGGAAAUGCUUACAUCUGAGAGGAAGGAUGUUAUAGUACGAGAGGAACUAGCGUUCGACGCCUCUAGUUUAUCGGUUGUCUGACAAGGCAGGCCGAGCAGCCACGCGUUAAACCAUAACCGCUGAAAGCAUCUAAGCGGGAAGGGUGCCUCGAAUAAUAGAUGUAGAGUCGUUGUAGAACACAACGUUGAUAGGAUUGGGGUGUAAGUGCGAAGCUUCGGCGACGCAUUCAGCCUGCGAUUACUAAUCGUCUUGAAACUUAGAUUU